rnacentral:rRNA from 1 species
AGGCUUUGAUCCUGGCUCAGGAUGAACGCUAGCGGCAGGCCUAAUACAUGCAAGUCGAACGGGAUUCGGGACUUCGGUUCUGAUGAGAGUGGCGCACGGGUGCGUAACGCGUAUGCAACCUACCUACUACAGGGGGAUAGCUUCCGGAAACGGGAAUUAAUACCCCAUAAGAUAUUAAUGCUGCAUGGCAUAGAUAUUAAAGCUGAGGCGGUAGUAGAUGGGCAUGCGUUUGAUUAGCUAGUUGGUGGUGUAACGGACCACCAAGGCGACGAUCAAUAGGGGUUCUGAGAGGAUGAUCCCCCACACUGGUACUGAGAUACGGACCAGACUCCUACGGGAGGCAGCAGUAGGGAAUAUUGGGCAAUGGACGAGAGUCUGACCCAGCCAUGCCGCGUGCAGGAAGACGGCCCUUUGGGUUGUAAACUGCUUUUCUACGGGAAGAAAAUGCUCAUGCGUGAGUGACUGACGGUAC